rnacentral:lncRNA from 1 species
CGAGGAAGCGCUGCGUUCGCCUCGCCAAGUCCAUACACACCUAUAUUCCAGUGCCCCACCCCAGAGCAUGCAGCUCUCUCUCCACGCCUCUCGAGAGUCGUGCCCCCCAACACGUCCGUCACACCCGGCCAUCUUCCCAAAGCCGAGCCCCGCAGCCUUACCCCGACCCCCGAGAGCACACCGCUAGAAAUAAGCCCUCCGCCUCCAGACGACUGAGUGACUCCGAUCGGCGGCAGCCCGUUCGCGACACUUUCGCGUUGCCGUAAAGGGAUACAGGGUCGGAACGAGCGGCGGCGCGGGCGCGCUCCUCGGGGCGGUAAGCGCGCCCCAGGCCUGGCCCGGCUGCUCGGGAGCGCGCCCUAGGGUCCCGCCCUGUCUCGGUCCCGCCUGCCGGCUUCGAACGCUGCGGCUGUCCCUGGCUGGGUCAUCCACACAAGCAGUCACCGCUUAGAGGAGACAGUAAAAGGAAUUAAUCUUAUUACCAGUGGCUUUCAAAUAUUUGAGAAAUUUAAGAAUUGUGACUGCAGUUCUGAUUCAUGGAUCUUCAAAGAAAGCAGAGAAGAUUUCAGGACUUACAAAGGUGCAGGUUUGUGCAGAUUUGAAGACCAGUAUCUUACGAGCUUGUAAAACAGCAACAAGUCAGAUGAUCAGAGUAAAUGACGAGUACAAGUCAAAAGUGGCUGAGAUUUCAUUAUUUGGAAGAAGCUGAGCACAUUGGAGGAUUAUGCAGGUAAGAGUUGUUCUUACAGGGGUGCCUGGGUGGCUCAGUGGGUUAAGCCUCUGCCUUUGGCUCAGGUCAUGCAUGAUCCCAGGGUCCUAG